GCAGAGCAUCCUACGGGAGGCAGCAGUGGGGAAUAUUGCACAAUGGGCGCAAGCCUGAUGCAGCCAUGCCGCGUGUAUGAAGAAGGCCUUCGGGUUGUAAAGUACUUUCAGCAGUGAGGAAGGUGGGUAUGUUAAUAGCAUAUUCAUUUGACGUUAGCUGCAGAGAAGCACCGGCUAACUCCGUGCCAGCAGCCGCGGUAAUACGGAGGGUGCGAGCGUUAAUCGGAAUUACUGGGCGUAAAGCGCAUGCAGGUGGUUUGUUAAGUCAGAUGUGAAAGCCCGGGGCUCAACCUCGGAAUUGCAUUUGAAACUGGCAAACUAGAGUACUGUAGAGGGGGUAGAAUUUCAGGUGUAGCGGUGAAAUGCGUAGAGAUCUGAAGGAAUACCGGUGGCGAAGGCGGCCCCCUGGACAGAUACUGACACUCAGAUGCGAAAGCGUGGGGAGCAAACAGGAUUAGAUACCCUGGUAG
rnacentral:rRNA from 1 species